rnacentral:rRNA from 1 species
GAAAUACCACCCUUUAAUGUUUGAUGUUCUAACGUGGACCCGUAAUCCGGGUUGCGGACAGUGUCUGGUGGGUAGUUUGACUGGGGCGGUCUCCUCCUAAAGAGUAACGGAGGAGCACGAAGGUUGGCUAAUCCUGGUCGGACAUCAGGAGGUUAGUGCAAUGGCAUAAGCCAGCUUGACUGCGAGCGUGACGGCGCGAGCAGGUGCGAAAGCAGGUCAUAGUGAUCCGGUGGUUCUGAAUGGAAGGGCCAUCGCUCAACGGAUAAAAGGUACUCCGGGGAUAACAGGCUGAUACCGCCCAAGAGUUCAUAUCGACGGCGGUGUUUGGCACCUCGAUGUCGGCUCAUCACAUCCUGGGGCUGAAGUAGGUCCCAAGGGUAUGGCUGUUCGCCAUUUAAAGUGGUACGCGAGCUGGGUUUAGAACGUCGUGAGACAGUUCGGUCCCUAUCUGCCGUGGGCGCUGGAGAACUGAGGGGGGCUGCUCCUAGUACGAGAGGACCGGAGUGGACGCAUCACUGGUGUUCGGGUUGUCAUGCCAAUGGCACUGCCCGGUAGCUAAAUGCGGAAGAGAUAAGUGCUGAAAGCAUCUAAGCACGAAACUUGCCCCGAGAUGAGUUCUCCCUGAGACUUUAGGUCUCCUGAAGGAACGUUGAAGACGACGACGUUGAUAGGCCGGGUGUGUAAGCGCAGCGAUGCGUUGAGCUAACCGGUACUAAUGAACCGUGAGGCUUAACCUU